GCUUUUUCCACAUUUUUCCUUUGCCGUUUUCACUUUUUGCAUAUUUUUUUUUCCAGCAGCUUAGGCAUUGUUUUUCCUGCGAGUUCUACACUAUUUUCCUUGCAAUUUCCUAUUUCUUUUUCAGCAUUUAGUUAGUUCUAUUCACACAAUAGUUUCUACAAAGGAAACUAUUGUGUACCUUUUUACCGGAUCCAACCUUAUGUUAGGAUCUAGUUUAUUUUCUUCGCUUUAAUUUGUUGUUUAUUUGACGAAUCCAAGGACAAAUCCUGCCGGCUUGUGGCGGAGUG
rnacentral:lncRNA from 1 species